rnacentral:rRNA from 1 species
GAUGGACGCUGGCGGCGUGCUUAACACAUGCAAGUCGAACGGAAAGGCCGAAGCUUGCUUCGGUACUCGAGUGGCGAACGGGUGAGUAACACGUGGGUGAUCUGCCCUGUACUUCGGGAUAAGCUUGGGAAACUGGGGCUAAUACCGGAUAUGACGAUCUCUUGGAUGGGGUUGUGGAAAGAUUUUGCGGUAUGGGAUGAGCUCGCGGCGUAUCAGCGUGUUGGUGGGGUCAUGGCCUACCAAGGCGUCGACGGGUAGCCGGCCUGAGAGGGUGUACGGCCGCAUUGGGCCUGUGAUACGGCCCAGACUCCUACGUGAGGCAGCAGUGGGGAAUAUUGCACAGUGCGCGCAAGCCUGAGGCAGCGACGCCGCGUGGGGGAUGACGGCCUUCGGGUUGUAAACUCCUUUCGCAAUCGACGUAGCCUUUUGGUGACGGUAGGUUGAGAAGAAGCACCGGCUAACUACGUG